CACGGCCCCACGCGCAGAGAUUGAAGUCCUUGCUGCUAGUGGGUCGGGUCCUCGCUUUGUGCGGGGAUGCGACGUGCAGCAAUGGCGCUAGCCGUUCGAGUCGUGUAUUGGUAAGUCCCAGUGCUACAGUUCCCCCUUUUCCUGCUUUCGGCUCUUUGUGCCAGGGACUCCCUUCUCUGCUCCCCAUCCUUUGUGCCAGAAAUCCCACUCCCCACCCCCACCCACCCACUCUAUCUACCAGGGUCUGGUGGUCGAGUACGAUGACUGUAUUCCAUAGCCAAAGGGAGGGAUUUCCAAGCGGGUGGGAUGACGGAGGUAACAGAGACUUGAGCCAGAUUCCUGGCAUCUGCCAUCAGAGGCAUCUCGCCAGAGAAAGUGGAAACUGGUGCUUGGGUCCCUAUUUGAACACGUGACAGCGCUGAGGGAAGGGGAAGGGUAGCAUCGGGUUUCUCUGGGGACCUUUACCUUCGACAGUCUGUUUCCCUUCCCCCUCUCUGAGCAGCACUGGGUUAGAGAAGGCUAAAGGCCUGAUUUAGGGAAGUCUAAGAUACAUGUCGUGGUUGGGGGUUGACUCUUAAGCGCUGUUGGGAGGUCUGGGGAUGUCCUGUACCUGGAUUGUAGUGUGAGUUAGCAGCGGCCGUGCCUCCCUGUGUACAUGAAAAAAGGGAGAAUUGAGCCACGGAGUGGUGGUGGUGGUGCACACUUUUAAUCCCAGCAUUUGGAAGCAGAGGCAGGUAGAUAGUUCCAGGCCAGCCUGGUCUGCUUGUUAGGGGCAACCAGGGUGAUGAGGUGAGACCCUGUGCCCCGAAAAGGAAAAGCAAUGUGGGAUAGAUUGUAGGGGUUAGGAUGUAGCUCAGUGGUAGAGUGUCUGCCUGAAAUGCACCAGGUUCUGGGGUUCGGUUCCCAGCAAUACAAAAAGCAAAACAAAACCAAGAAACUCUUACUGGCCUCUGAUCAGUGGGUACUGGUGCUGUUAGCUCCAGUCCUGUCCUUUUCUGGCCUCAGUUUCCCCUUCUGUAGUGUGAAGGGGUGAUGAUGUUGGUUAGUUACCUGACAGUGCUAUAAUUGUGCCCCUGCUAAAGGCAAGCAUUUUCCAUGCUUGCCAGCAUUUCUUGAUGGCUUUUCCUCCAUCUGCGUCUGAUACUCAGCUGGCAUUCAGUAAGUGAUUCCACAUUCCUGAAGCCUCUUGAGGGCUCUCUACUCUGUCUCCAUUUUACAGGGAGGAAACUGAGGCUGGAAAUGAGGCAGGGCCAGCCUGAGGUCUUACAACUGAUAACUCUGUAACUUGAAUCUGGGUUCCCUGGUCCACUUAGCUGCAUGUGGUCUCCCCCCUCCCCCUGCAACUCCCUCGAGGGGUCUGAUCAUCCCCAGUUAUCAGGAUGUCCUUCAAAAGCAUGCUUUAAUAUGUUGAGGAUCUCACGAGGCCACUGUACCAGAUUCCAGGCACAAAUGGCCUGAGGUAGGGGAUGUGGGGGCAGGGAAAGUUAGGAUUCCUGACUGACAGCCAGGCGAGGGAGGGAGUGGGUGGAUGAAAUUCUACUGAGGCAGCAUUUGUCUUAAUCUCCUUCCCUCUGUUUCCUUCCCCAUUGUCAUCUCUAUGAAACCUGUGAUCUCUUUGCCACACACACCCCCCACACCCCCGCCAUCUUGGCUCUCUUGUUUGGGGUGGGCUUUCUUUGUUUCUUUUUUUUUUUUUUUUUGUUUUUUUCCGGAGCUGGGGACCGAACCCAGGGCCUUGCUAGGGCCUUGCUCCUGCUAGGCAAGCGCUCUACCACUGAGCUAAAUCCCCAACCCCCUUUCUUUGUAUCUCUGCAUUGUUGCACACAUCUCUCUGUGUGAUGAGCUUGCCUUCCCCUCCUUUGAGGGUCUUAGUCACCUGUGCAUUCUCAUCUGGAUCUAUCACCUUUGUCUCACUGCUGUUGCCUGCCUCCCUUGGUACCUGUGACCCAUGCUCUGCCCCGUGGACUGUGACAACCCUGGAUUCACCUGAUAGUGGAGCUUGAGGCUAUAAGCCCAAGGUGAGUGAGUGACACUUCUCAGGAGUGUCUUGAAGUAGGUCAGGGUGGGUACACCGUCGGGAGCAUUUGCUGGGCCCGGCUGUGAUAACACCACCCCUACCCUGUACCCUGUUUCCAGUAUCUCCAGCUCAAGGAGAAGCUAGAACAUGAGUUCCCCGGAUGCCUGGACAUCGUGAGUCUUAGAAUGGGCACAGAUCACGCCGUGCCUUGUCUGUCCCUUGGGACUGGGAGGCAGUGGGAAUGGGUUAAAGCCAAUCCUCUCUGUCCUUACGUUCUUGACUCCCUGGGAUGUGAUGGAGAAGGUAUUCCUAAGAGGUCAUCUUAACCCCCCUCUUAAUGCCUUCUUUCCUCAGUGUGGCGAGGGGACUCCCCAGGUCACCGGGUUCUUUGAAGUGACGGUAGCCGGGAAGUUGGUUCACUCCAAGAAGGUAAAUCAGAGUCCUGCCUCAAAGGGGGUCAGUGUGAGCUGGUCCAUUUGUGGAGAUUAGUUCAACUCUCCCCUCUCCUCCGCAGAGAGGUGAUGGCUACGUGGAUACAGAGAGCAAGUUCCGGAAACUGGUGACUGCCAUCAAAGCCGCCUUGGCUCAGUGCCAGUGAGCCCUAGAGGCAGGGUCCUGAAGGCUCCUGGCCGGCCUUUCUUGGCAGCCGCUUCAUGACAGGAAGGACUGAAAUGUCUCAAAGACCUGUGGUCUUUCUUCGAUGUUCCUGCGGCCACCAAGUCAGGCCAGAGAUGGAUUCUGUGUGUGGGUGCCUUCCCAGAAUCUACCUGUGCACGCACCCCGCCCUGCCCUCCCGCCCUCUUCCUCACCUCUCUCUGAAUUCCCCCAUGUUUCCUACCUUCCCUCCUGCUUUGGUUUCCCGUCUCCCCCUCAAGACUGCAAGAAGACGGGCAGCCGUGUCGCCAGGUGUUCCUGGUUGAAUAAAGGUUGGCCAAGGCAACCUGAGGAAAUGUAGUUUAUUUUGCCUUGCAGUUUCGGGUCACAAUCCUGGAUGGGGAAUUCAAGGUAGCAGGGUCUUGAAGAAGCUGGUCACAUUGUAUCUGCAGGCAGAAAGCAGAGAGAUGGAGCUGGGUGAAACGGCCCAGCAGGCGAAGGCACUUACUGCCAAGACAUAGUCCGAGUUCAGUCCUUGAGACCCACAGACCACAUGGCGGAAUAAGACAAGCAACCCUGCUGACCUCUGUUGCCUGCUUUGGCACUCUGGAGAGUACACAAACGCACAUGCGUGUGAGCCCUCUCUCCUCCCCCCACCUUUCUCUCUCUCUCACACACACAUACGCACACACGCACACAGAAAAACUAUAAUACACAGAGUGGAGAACACAUGCUACUGCUCAGCUCCUGUAGUCCAGAUCUCCUGACUAUGGUCCCAUCCACAGUGGUUAAGAGCACUGGCUGUUCUUCCAGAGGACCUGGGUUAAAUCCUUAUUAACCACAACCAUUUAUAACUCCAGUUCCAGAGGAUCUGACACCUUCUGGCCUUCUCGGGCACUAGGCAUGCACAUGGUACACAUAUAUGCAGGCAAACCACCGUAUAUCUUUAGACAUACCAAAAGAGGGCAUCGGAUGCCCAUUACAGAUGGUUGUGAGUCACCAUGUGGUUGCUGG
rnacentral:lncRNA from 1 species